UACGAAGGGUGCAAGCGUUGUUCGGAAUUACUGGGCGUAAAGCGCGCGUAGGCGGUCUACUAAGUCAGACGUGAAAGCCCUGAGCUUAACUCGGGAACGGCGUUUGAUACUGGUAGACUAGAGAUUCAGAGAGGUGAGUGGAAUUCCUAGUGUAGAGGUGAAAUUCGUAGAUAUUAGGAGGAACAUCAGUGGCGAAGGCGGCUCACUGGCUGAAUACUGACGCUAAGGCGCGAAAGCGUGGGGAGCAAACAGG
rnacentral:rRNA from 1 species